UACGUAGGUGGCAAGCGUUAUCCGGAAUUAUUGGGCGUAAAGAGCGCGCAGGUGGUUGAUUAAGUCUGAUGUGAAAGCCCACGGCUUAACCGUGGAGGGUCAUUGGAAACUGGUCGACUUGAGUGCAGAAGAGGGAAGUGGAAUUCCAUGUGUAGCGGUGAAAUGCGUAGAGAUGUGGAGGAACACCAGUGGCGAAGGCGGCUUCCUGGUCUGUAACUGACACUGAGGCGCGAAAGCGUGGGGAGCAAACAGGAUUAGAUACCCCCGUA
rnacentral:rRNA from 1 species